GUGAUUGGUUCCAUAGAAGACUCUUUUCGUUUGUGAAAACGUAAACUUGAUUCGAAUCACAAAACUUGAACGCGUCAAACAAACGCUUAAUGAAAUACAAUUCAUUGAUUUCUCUCUCAGUUCUUGAAGUUCUCAUCUUUCUUGUUCCUUUACGAUCAGCAAGCAACAACUUUUUACAUUGCGUUUCUCCCUCGAAAAGCAAAAAGCGAAGCCCUGCCCAUCGAAAACGACGUACUUUCUGAAAGUUGCCGAUUCACUCGUCCUCAAGUAAUAGUGACGAUGGAGAAAUUGCCAGAAGAUGUGUUAAUGGAAAUCAUGCUGUGGGUGCGUCCGCAAUGUUUGAUCCGAUGCAAGCUUGUGAAAAUGACGAUGGUGAGAACAAUGACAACUUUCACUGUGUUACCGAGGAUUUCCUUUUACCACGGUCGCUGGAUGACGUGAACUUGCAAUGUACGCGGCACCUUCAUUGUGACAGCCUCAUCUGCUGUUUUACGUAUGAUUAUAGAGACACUAAUAGCAACUCCUUUCUUAUGCAAUCCAACGAUCAAGGAAGUCAGAUCUCUUCCAAAACUGAUGUUUUGUGAUCACUUUGUAUCAGAAGGAGCAGGAUUGUCACGUGAUUGUAGAAGUGACGAUUACAAGUUUGUUGUCUUCGGGUAUGAUUCGAAGUCUUAUGAUUCCAAAGCGGAGAUUUACAGUUUACACAAUGAUUGUUGGAGGGAGAUUAGUUUUCAUUGGGGAGGCACGAUUGAUUAUGAAAUACGGAGCUUUUGGCUUGUUAAUUCACAGAUAUUUUCCGGAG